GUUAUCCUUCGGGGUCAGGUGAAAAUCCUAACCGGCGGUGGUGAAUAAUGAUUGUAUUCUAAGCCCGCGACCCGCAUGUCUUUACUGAGAUGCGGUUGAUCAAGUUUGAAUCUUGAGCCGACAGUUAAAGUCUGGAUGGGAGAAGGAUCAG
rnacentral:ncRNA from 2 species